CAUUCUUCAUAAAAGUCAAGAUAUAGAAAUAACCGAAGUGUCUGCUGACCAAUAAAUGGAUAAAGAAAAUGUGUUAUAUAACAAUGGAAUAUUAUUCAGACAUACAAAGGUCAGAAGUUUAUUUGAUAUUCACAACAUGCAACUAAGGGUCCUUUAAGUCUGGAGCCAUGUCACAUUUCAGAUAAGAAAGGUUAUGCACAGCAAAAGACUCAGGAACUGUGAAUGAGACAUAAUUAAGAAAGAAGAUGUAACUGUAAACAAAGAGUUUAAGGUGAGUCUUGUGAUCAAUAUCAUUAGUUAAGGCACAUGUGUAGAGUAAUUAUAAAGCUUUUUGAUUCCUGUAAUAAAAACUGCCCAAUUAUGGGAAGUCAUUUCUUUUCUGUAGAUCAUUGCUUUAUAAGCUAUUGUUGAGCUUGAAUGUUAUAGUCCUAAGGCAGUACAUGUUUUCAAUUUAAAAAAUGGUGCCCUCAUUAAGCUGUUGAUCUAAUUUAUAAAAUUUGUACAUAUGUUCACAGAAUUCUGACUAUUUAUUGCGUUUCUUAGACUUAGAUGAAGCAAGUGCUGUGAGAAACUUGUAACACAUAUUCAGGGCCUUUGAUUUUCAAGAAUUCUUUGUUUGCUUCAGUAUAGAAUAAAAGCAUAUGAAUUCCCGGAACAGGCUAACUUCAAGCCUUUCAAUAUGGCUCAACGCAGUAAUUUGAUGCAUUAUAUCAGAGUUGUGUGAUUUUUUAAUUUUUAAUUUAAUUUAAUUUUUUUAUUUCCAAAAGUUAUUUGGGAACAAGUAGUGUUUGGUUAUAUAAGUUCUUUAGUGGUGAUUUGUGAGAUUUUGGUGUACUCAUCACCGAGCAGUAUACACUGUACCCUAUUUGUAGUCUUUUAUCCCUCACCCCCUUCCCACUCUUUCACCCUGUGUCCCCAAAAUCCAUUGUGUCAUUCUUAUGCCUUUGCAUCCUCAUAGCUUUGCUCCCACUUAUGUGUGAGAACCUACGAUGUUGGUUUUCCAUUCCUGAGUUACUUCACUUAGAAUAAUAGUCUCCAAUCUCAUCCAGGUUGCUGCGAAUGCCAUUAAUUCAUUCCUUUUUAUGGCUAAGUAGUAUUCCACAGUACAUAUAUACCACAGUUUCUUUAUCCACUCAUUGACUGAUGGGCAUUUGGGUUGGUUCCACAUUUUUCCAAUUGUGAAUUGUACUGCCAUAAACAUGCAUGUGCAAGUAUCUUUUUCGUAUAAUGACUUCUUUUCCUCUGGGUAGAUACCCAGUAGUGGGGUUGCUGGAUCAAAUGGUAGUUCUGCUUUUAGUUCUUCAAGGAAUCUCCACACUCUUUUCUAUAGUGGUUGUACUAGUUCACAUUCCCACUAGCAGUGUAGAAGUGUUUCUUGUUCACUGCAUCCACUCUAACAUCUACUAUUUUUUGAUUUUUUGAUUAUGGCCAUUCUAGCAGGAGUAAGGUGGUACUGCAUUGUGGUUUUAAUUUGCAUUUCCCUGAUCAUUAGUGAUGUUGAGCAUUUUUUCAUAUGUUUGUUGCCCAUUUGUAUAUCUUCUUUUGAGAAUUGUCUAUUCAUGUCCUUAGCCCACUUUCUGAUUGGACUGUUUUUUUUUUUCUUGUUGAUUUGUUUGAGUUCAUUGUAGGUUCUGGAUAUUAGUGCUUUGUCAGAUGUAUAGAUUGUGAAGAUUUUUUUCCCACUCUAUGGGUUGUAUGUUUACUCUGCUGACUAUUCCUUUUGCUGUGCAAAAGCUCUUUAGUUUAAGUCCCAGGAAUUUAUCUUUGUUUUUGUUGCAUUUGCUUUUGGGUUCUUGGUCAUGAAAUCCUUGACUAAGCCAAAGUCUAGAAGGGCUUUCCAAUGUUAUCUUCUGGAAUUUUUAUAGUUUCAGGUCUUAGAUUUAAGUCUUUAAUCCAUCUUGAGUUGAUUUUAAUCCAUCUUAAGUUGUAAGGUAAAAGAUGAGGAUCCAGUUUCAUUCUCCUACGUAUGGCUAGCCAAUUACUUCAGCACCAUUUGUUGAAAAGGGUGUCCUUUCCCCAUUUUACAUUUUAGUUUGCUUUGUCAAAGACCAGGGGGCUGUAAGUAUUUGGGUUUAUUUCUGGCUUCUCUAUUCGGUUCUAUUGGUCUAUGUGCCUAUUUUUAUAGCAGUACCAUGCUGUUUUGGUGACUAUGGCCUUAUAGUAUAGUUUGAAAUCAGGUAAUGUGAUGCCUCCAGAUUUGUUCCUUUUGCUUAGUCUUGCUUUGACUCUGCAGGCUCUUUUUUGGUUCCAUAUGAAUUUUAGUUUUUUUUUUUUUAAUUCUGUGAAGAAUGAUGGUGAUAUUUUGAUGGGAAUUGUGUUGAAUUUGUAGAUUGCUUUGGGCAGUAUGGUCAUUUUUACAAUAUUGAUUCUACCCAUUCAUGAGCAUGGGAUGUAUUUCCAUCUCUUUGUGUCAUAUAUGAUUUCUUUAAGCAGUAUUUAGUAGUUUUCCUGUAGAGGUCUUUCACCUCCUUGCUUAGGUAUAUUCCUAAGUAUUUUUUUUUUUUUUUUGCAGCUAUUGUAAAAGGGGUUGAGUUCUUAAUUUGAUUCUCAGGUUGGUCAUUGUUGGUGUAUUGAAGAACUACUGAUUUGUGUAUAUUAAUUUUGUAUCUGGAAACUUUGCUGAAUUCUUUUAUCAAGAGUUGUGCAACUUAAUACUCGAGAGUGUUUAUACUACUGUUAUUGUUUGUCUAUUUUUUU